rnacentral:SRP_RNA from 1 species
ACUGGGUGCAGUGAUGCAUGCCUGUAGUCUCAGCUACUCCGGAGGCUGAGGUGGGAGGAUCGCUUGAGCCCAGGAGUUCUGGGCUGUAGUGCACUAUGCCGAUUGGGUGUCUGCACUAAGUUCGGCAUCAAUAUGGUGACCUCCUGGGAGUGAGGGACCACCAGGUUGCCUAAGGAGGGGUGAACCGACCCAGGUCAGAAAUGGAGCAGGUCAAAACUCCUGUGCUGAUCAGUAGUGGGAUCGUGCCUGUGAAUAGUCACUGCACUUCGGCCUGGGCAACAUAGCGAGACCCCAUCUCU